UAAACGACUCUCGGCAACGGAUAUCUCGGCUCUCGCAUCGAUGAAGAACGCAGCGAAAUGCGAUACUUGGUGUGAAUUGCAGGAUCCCGCGAACCAUCGAGUCUUUGAACGCAAGUUGCGCCCGAAGCCUUUUGGCCGAGGGCACGUCUGCCUGGGUGUCACUC
rnacentral:rRNA from 6 species